GAUGAACGCUGGCGGCGUGCCUAAUACAUGCAAGUCGAGCGAACAGACGAGGAGCUUGCUCCUCUGACGUUAGCGGCGGACGGGUGAGUAACACGUGGAUAACCUACCUAUAAGACUGGGAUAACUUCGGGAAACCGGAGCUAAUACCGGAUAAUAUAUUGAACCGCAUGGUUCAAUAGUGAAAGACGGUUUUGCUGUCACUUAUAGAUGGAUCCGCGCCGCAUUAGCUAGUUGGUAAGGUAACGGCUUACCAAGGCAACGAUGCGUAGCCGACCUGAGAGGGUGAUCGGCCACACUGGAACUGAGCCACGGUCCAGGCUCCUACGGGAGGCAGCAGUAGGGAAUCGUCCGCAAUGGGCGAAAGCCUGACGGAGCAACGCCGCGUGAGUGAUGAAGGUCUUCGGAUCGUAAAACUCUGUUAUUAGGGAAGAACAAAUGUGUAAGUAACUAUACACGUCUUGACGGUACCUAAUCAGAAAGCCACGGCUAACUACGUG
rnacentral:rRNA from 1 species